AUGCCAGAAAAACGGAUCCACAACAACGACCACACCUUCCUUCCCCUCCUCCCGUGUGCUUCCUUCCCCAUUGCCGCGAGUCGACCCGGCCUCUGGUCGUUGCCCGCGCUACUACAAGCCGCCUCCGACCUCCUCUGCCGGACACCAUGGCCAUGGAGCAAAGCUCCGUCGGACCUUCCCAACCAGAUCAACGAUGACGACGAGCGGAUCAGCCAGCCCUUCCGCCCUAGUUAUAUGAAGAACCUGAUUGGUGAAGCUAAUUAUGAAAUCUGCCAGGAAAGGUUCAGCACCACUGCAAAUGAUGUUGUAUUUGCUGAGAAUAUGUCAGUCGUGAGGGUCGCCAUCAUGAGUGGGCAUUUGCUUACUGGGCAAUGGAGUAGAACCCACAUAUGGUUAUUUGAACAUGCUGGAAAUGAGCGCUUGCCCAAAACUGAAUUAGAAGGAGAGAGGUCUAAGGAGGCAAACUUCAUCGAUAAGUCACUGUCUGCAUUGGGUGAUGCUAUUGCUUCCCUUACCUUCAAAUUCAUUAGUGCCUAUGUAAUUGAUUAUCCAUGA
rnacentral:rRNA from 1 species